rnacentral:hammerhead_ribozyme from 1 species
AUCUAGUUGACGAGUUCCAAAUGAAACUAGACGCGUGUCCUGGAU